UGAUUUGGGCUACACACGUGCUACAAUGGACAAUACAAAGGGCAGCGAAACCGCGAGGUCAAGCAAAUCCCAUAAAGUUGUUCUCAGUUCGGAUUGUAGUCUGCAACUCGACUACAUGAAGCUGGAAUCGCUAGUAAUCGUAGAUCAGCAUGCUACGGUGAAUACGUUCCCGGGUCUUGUACACACCGCCCCGUCACACCACGAGAGUUUGUAACACCCGAAGCCGGUGGAGUAACCAUUUGGAGCUAGCCGUCGAAGGUGGGACAAAUGAUUGGGGUGAAGUCGUAACAAGGUAGCCGUAUCGGAAGGUGCGGUUGGAUCACCUCC
rnacentral:rRNA from 1 species